GAGGGGUGGCACAAGCCAGAAUAAGGCGAAACCGCGAAUGGCUCAUUAAAUCAGUUAUGGUUCCUUAGAUCGUUUCUUCCUACUUGGAUAACUGUGGCAAUUCUAGAGCUAAUACAUGCAGUGAGCCUGGAGCCCUUUGGGUAACGGGUGCUUUUAUUAGACCAAGAUCGAUCGGGUUUCGGCCCGUAUUGUGUGGUGACUCUGGAUAACUUUGUGCUGAUCGCAUGGCCACGAGCCGGCGACGUUUCUUUCAAGUGUCUGCCUUAUCAACUUUCGAUGGUAGGUUACUUGCUUACCAUGGUUGUUACGGGUAACGGAGAAUCAGGGUUCGAUUCCGGAGAGGGAGCCUGAGAAACGGCUACCACAUCCAAGGAAGGCAGCAGGCGCGCAAAUUACCCACUCCCGGCACGGGGAGGUAGUGACGAAAAAUAACAAUACGGGACUCUUUUGAGGCCCCGUAAUUGAAAUGAGUACACUCUAAAUCCUUUAACGAGGAUCAAUUGGAGGGCAAGUCUGGUCCCAGCAGCCA
rnacentral:rRNA from 1 species